GAUGAAGAACGCAGCGAAAUGCGAUAAGUAGUGUGAAUUGCAGAAUUCAGUGAAUCAUCGAAUCUUUGAACGCACAUUGCGCCCUUUGGUAUUCCUUAGGGCAUGCCUGUUCGAGCGUCAUUUGAAACCUCUAGCUCAGCUUGGUGUUGGGUGUCUGUCCCCGCCUCCGCGGGGACUCGCCUCAAAAUCAUUGGCGGCCGGUACGUUGGCUUCGAGCGCAGCAGAAACGCGAACUCGAGGCCCGGCGGAUCGGCGACCAGAAGUCUCUUCUUCACAGUUUGACCUCGGAUCAGGUAGGGAUACCCGCUGAACUUAAGCAUAUCAAUAAGCGGAGGA
rnacentral:misc_RNA from 1 species